GAAAAGAAGAAAAACGAAGAAGACGAUCCAGGAGGGAGCAUUUUCAAUGAUCACAUAUGUAUUCAUGAGUUUAUAGAGGAUAAGGACCUUGUAGAAAAGUGUAAUUUCUUUCAUGGCUUCUCAAUUUCUAGGGCAAAUGUGUCCCGCUAUGAAUUGAGGUACCUUGCAUCAAACCAAAACCCUAGAAAUUGAAGAAACUAAUUGGGGCGAUUCAUUGACAGCCCCAUCUGCAAUUCGGGUGUAACUAUUGGCAAUUCA
rnacentral:misc_RNA from 1 species